rnacentral:rRNA from 1 species
UACAGAGGGGGCAAGCGUUAUUCGGAAUUAUUGGGCGUAAAGGGCGCGUAGGCGGCCUGGCAAGUGGAUGGUGAAAUCCCUCGGCUUAACCGAGGAACUGCCAUCCAGACUGCUUGGCUUGAGACCGGGAGAGGUGAGUGGAAUUCCCAGUGUAGCGGUGAAAUGCGUAGAUAUUGGGAGGAACACCAGUGGCGAAGGCGGCUCACUGGACCGGUACUGACGCUGAGGCGCGAAAGCUAGGGUAGCAAACGGGG